rnacentral:rRNA from 1 species
AGACUAGAGUGCGGUAGGGGAGAUUGGAAUUCCUGGUGUAGCGGUGGAAUGCGCAGAUAUCAGGAGGAACACCGAUGGCGAAGGCAGAUCUCUGGGCCGUAACUGACGCUGAGGAGCGAAAGGGUGGGGAGCAAACAGGCUUAGAUACCCUGGUAGUCCACCCCGUAAACGUUGGGAACUAGUUGUGGGGUCCAUUCCACGGAUUCCGUGACGCAGCUAACGCAUUAAGUUCCCCGCCUGGGGAGUACGGCCGCAAGGCUAAAACUCAAAGGAAUUGACGGGGACCCGCACAAGCGGCGGAGCAUGCGGAUUAAUUCGAUGCAACGCGAAGAACCUUACCAAGGCUUGACAUACACGAGAACGCUGCAGAAAUGUAGAACUCUUUGGACACUCGUGAACAGGUGGUGCAUGGUUGUCGUCAGCUCGUGUCGUGAGAUGUUGGGUUAAGUCCCGCAACGAGCGCAACCCUCGUUCUAUGUUGCCAGCACGUAAUGGUGGGAACUCAUGGGAUACUGCCGGGGUCAACUCGGAGGAAGGUGGGGAUGACGUCAAAUCAUCAUGCCCCUUAUGUCUUGGGCUUCACGCAUGCUACAAUGGCCGGUACAAAGGGCUGCAAUACCGUGAGGUGGAGCGAAUCCCAAAAAGCCGGUCCCAGUUCGGAUUGAGGUCUGCAACUCGACCUCAUGAAGUCGGAGUCGCUAGUAAUCGCAGAUCAGCAACGCUGCGGUGAAUACGUUCCCGGGUCUUGUACACACCGCCCGUCAAGUCAUGAAAGUCGGUAACACCUGAAGCCGGUGGCCCAACCCUUGUGGAGGAGCCUCAAU